AGCGGCGUGGCUCAGUGGAAAGAGCACGGGCUUGGGAGUCAGAGGUCAUGGGUUCUAAUCCCAGCUCCGCCG
rfam:Ornithorhynchus anatinus chromosome 3, whole genome shotgun sequence.